rnacentral:rRNA from 1 species
UGCAACUCGCCUACAUGAAGUCGGAAUUGCUAGUAAUCGCGGAUCAGCAUGCCGCGGUGAAUACGUUCCCGGGCCUUGUACACACCGCCCGUCACACCAUGAGAGCCGGUAACACCCGAAGUCAGUAGCCUAACCGCAAGGGGGCGCUGCCGAAGGUGGGAUUGGUAAUUGGGGUGAAGUCGUAACAAGGUAUC